rnacentral:rRNA from 1 species
UACGUAGGGUGCGAGCGUUGUCCGGAAUUAUUGGGCGUAAAGGGGCUCGUAGGCGGUCUGUCGCGUCGGGAGUGAAAACUCAGGGCUUAACCCUGAGCCUGCUUCCGAUACGGGCAGACUAGAGGUAUGCAGGGGAGAACGGAAUUCCUGGUGUAGCGGUGGAAUGCGCAGAUAUCAGGAGGAACACCGGUGGCGAAGGCGGUUCUCUGGGCAUUACCUGACGCUGAGGAGCGAAAGUGUGGGGAGCGAACAGG